CAGAACAUCAUGUGAACCAGUGGAAGUUAAAGAGUUAAUGUUCUGGUUCCGUUUACUGCCUCUUACGGGCAGUAAGAUGGGAGGGGAGGGGCGGCAUCACCGGAGGACUUGGCGCCAAGAGAAGUGAGGUGGAGCUCUGGACAGCACCCCGUCCGUCUCUCCCUCCUUCGGGGCCGGAUCAGCUCGCUGCGGGGAAGGGCACGUGCUUCCCUCGCACUUCGGGGACACUUCAUCACAGAGUGCACCAAAGGAUGGUGCACAAAAGGAUGGACUAAAGUUCUCACAUUCAUUGAAAGAUGUGAGGAACCUAAAGAAUCUACAUGAGAGGAUGCCUCCUCAUUUUGGAAACCUUUCAAAAAAUAAUAAGACAAAGACCGUUCUUACUGGCUCAGCAUGGUCCAGCACCUCUUGAGUCUGUAAAUGUGAUAUAUUGGAGUUGAUCUGGAAUAUAAUCUGCUAUUCAGAAGUGUGUUUAUCCAGUCCAGGUUGCUGAUGUACGGGGCUCCUGGUGUGAGAAGGAAGGCAGUGUCUGAUGUUAUGUGUGAAGAUAUGACUGAGCAGAAAAUUGAAGGAAUAAAGAAAGCAGGCUAUGUUUAUGAGAUGGAGUUGCCUGAUCUGAAAUAAAGUAACUUUUUAGGGUGGACACACUAAUCUAUGAAACAACGGAAACUUCAGUGUUUAAAAUGUCUGCUUUGUUGGCUGUUAAAUGGAAAGAUACACGGAAAGACUGGAAUCUAUGAAGACAAAGCAGCGUUUGUGGGUUACUGGAAAUGAGUAAAGAAAAAAAGAGAUGCUUUGGAAAAAAAAAAAAAAAAGCCAUUAGCAGGGAUAUAUUUCAGGACAAAUGAUCUUCCAAUAUUUCCUAUGUAUCUGGAAUACAAACUGCUCAAGCUGGAGGAUGUGGCACAUCUUUGAGGAACUCUCGUUACAGAAAUGGUGGGACAGAGAUCUGAAAAGAUGGCGGAAGCUUGACCCUGAGGCAGAGGCUGGCCCAAAGUUGCAGAUCUUGAGAUCAAGCUCCCUAAGAGAUGACCAUCUUGAGCAGAUCGUUGCCGCUGUUUUUAAUUAUUCUGGGGUCCCCUGUUUCCCUUCCUGGAGGCGCAGAUUUGGCUAAAUCCCUCCGCCCCACUAGUCGCGGAACCGGGCCGGACCAGCCCUUAAACCGUUGACAUAAAGACUUCUAGGCUUCUUGUACUUUUGUCUCUGGUUGAAGACUUUCUCCUGCAUUGUGGGCACUUCAUUGUACCGUGGAAGUGAAAACUGUGGUCCUGUGCUUGAAGUAUUCUCUUCAGUGUUUAAAUUUUCCUGCCCAAUUCAGAUGACAGAAAACAGAAGAAUGAUUGGAUUUUCAGCAUAUCACCUUCCAAAUGAUCUCUGCACAAAGCGCUCAACAGCUUAACAGAACUGUUCUGCUAAACAGCUGCCUGUGUAUUUCUGUGUUCCACUUAAUGAUAUUCAUGAAAUACCCUUAUUUGCGAGGAAAAUCACUGAACAUCCACCUACUCACUUUAACAAAUUUGUCUGAAUUGUUAUUGGAGACUUCUGACCAGAUGACUGUCAAGUUCCUGGUUAUCUCAUUUGUUAAACUGUGGAAUCUAUGUACCAAAAGAAAUGACGACCAGUCUCCUCCAGCAUUCAAUGAAGUACCACUUUUUAUGCUUUGUUCUGCAUUAAAGAUUUGAGCAAAAUCUUUGAUUAAACAUAAAUCUCUGGCUUCAACCAGCAACUUUUCUGAAGCAUGGUCAUGAAGGUGUUGCUGCACUCCUGAAGAUGUGGAUGUCUUGGAAUUAUCACAACAUAAUGCUUCUAAACUUUAUCCAGGAUCUAUGGAGAAAGGCACUUGAGAGAAAUCUCUUUGAGUCAGUUCAAAAUUCAUAUGAAUCUAAAGCCAAUUCUCCAAUUAAUACUCUAACUAAUGCUCAGCUUCAUCUUCCACAGAACUGAACUUGUAGAAAUGACAAGUCUUACAGAAGGAUGCAACCAAUUGCUUUUUUUCUCCAUUUCAUGUACAAGUCAUCUGCACUGAAAGAAGAUAAACCAUCUAACGUAUUUGUUAUGUCUUUGCUUUUCUGCACUCAGAGAAAGAGACUCUUUUUCCAGUAACUAACUCACAGAACAGGAGGACGGGUGGCAUAUGGAGGCCAUGUAUAUACAUUUACUGUACCCACAAUAAAACAUUUAUGCUCUGUCUCUGUGAAUGAUGAUCUGUCAUCUUCUACAAUUAUUACUUUGUGAACUGUGUACUUAAUUUUGGUACUUUUUUAGCUCCUGGUGUGUGAAGAAUGUGAUAUACAAGAUGGGUAGUGGUACUUUGCCUGAAAGUAAAGGUUUAUAAGAGUAUUUGUGUGAAUGUCAUUGUUCAGUGAUAAAGAUCUAAUUGAAGAAUUCAGUGAAUGUUUUACAGUGAUUGUUUUAUGUACUAUAUCUGCUUUUUAGUUCUGGAAGCAGAACACCAUCACAAUGACAAUUUAUUGUAUACUAAAAAACAAUAUUUACUAUUGAAAGGCUAAAUGUUAGCAUUACUCUUACACUUAGAUUUUCUUAAGGCACACUUAAGGAAACCUAGAAAGAAGAAUUUGUAUUUGGGCUUUUUUAAUGCUUUCCUUUCUAAAUUCUAAUGUAUGUGCUUUGCAUGGGCAG
ensembl:lncRNA